AGAACGAACGCUGGCGGCAUGCCUAACACAUGCAAGUCGAACGCUCUUGGUUUCGGCCAAGGGAGUGGCGCACGGGUGAGUAACGCGUGGGAACCUGCCCUGGAGUGGGGGAUAACCGAGGGAAACCUCGGCUAAUACCGCAUACGACCUGAGGGUGAAAGAUUUAUCGCUCUAGGAGGGGCCCGCGUCGGAUUAGCUAGUUGGUGAGGUAACGGCCCACCAAGGCUAUGAUCCGUAGCUGGUCUGAGAGGAUGAUCAGCCACACUGGGACUGAGACACGGCCCAGACUCCUACGGGAGGCAGCAGUGGGGAAUAUUGGACAAUGGGCGCAAGCCUGAUCCAGCAAUGCCGCGUGAGUGAUGAAGGCCUUAGGGUUGUAAAGCUCUUUCACACGCGACGAUGAUGACGGUAGCGUGAGAAGAGCCCGGCUAACUCGUGCCAGCAGCCGC
rnacentral:rRNA from 1 species